GGGAGGGGAUGACUAGUGACAGAGGGAGGGGGUGACUAGUGACAGAGUGAGGAAGGAGGUGACUAGUGACAGAGUUAGGUAGGGAGUGACUAGUGACAGAGGGAGGGAUGGGGUGACUAGUGGCAUUCACCACCUCCCUCAUUCUGUCACUAGUCACCAUCUCCCUCACUCUGUCACUGUGUCACCCCCUCCCUCUGUCACUAGUCACCCCUCCCUCAUUCUGUCACUAGUCACCCCCUCUGUCACUAAUCACCCCCUCACUCUGUCACUAAUCACCCCCUCACUC